AGAUUGAACGCUGGCGGCAUGCUUUACACAUGCAAGUCGAACGGUAACAGGCCGCAAGGUGCUGACGAGUGGCGAACGGGUGAGUAAUGUAUCGGAACGUGCCCAGUCGUGGGGGAUAACGCAGCGAAAGCUGCGCUAAUACCGCAUACGAUCUAUGGAUGAAAGCGGGGGACCGUAAGGCCUCGCGCGAUUGGAGCGGCCGAUAUCAGAUUAGGUAGUUGGUGGGGUAAAGGCUCACCAAGCCAACGAUCUGUAGCUGGUCUGAGAGGACGACCAGCCACACUGGGACUGAGACACGGCCCAGACUCCUACGGGAGGCAGCAGUGGGAAUUUUGGACAAUGGGCGCAAGGCCUGAUCCAGCAAUGCCGCGUGCAGGAAGAAGGCCUUCGGUUGUAAACUGUCUUUUGUACGGAACGAACGGUCCUAGGUUAAUACCGUGGGUCUAAUGACGGUACGUAAGAUAAGCACGCUAACUACGUGCAGCAGCCG
rnacentral:rRNA from 1 species